rnacentral:rRNA from 1 species
UUUGUUCUUUAAUUUAGAACUAGAAUGAAAGGUUUAACAUUUUAAUUUCUAUUUUUACUUUAUUUUAUAAAAUUAUAUUAAAUAUAAAAAUAUAUUUAUACAAAAAUUAGACGACAAGACCCUAUUGAACUUUACUUUUGUUUAGCUGGGGCAGCUAUUUAAAAAAUAUUUUAAAAAUUAAAUUAUAAAAACCCAAAAUUUUUGAAUAUUAAUCAAGUUACCAUAGGGAUAACAGCGUAAUUUUUAUAUAAAGUUCUUAUUUAAAUAAAAGUUUGCGACCUCGAUGUUGAAUUAAAUUUCUAUAUUUCGCAAUAGAAAUAUAAGAAGGUCUGUUCGACCUAUAAAUAUUUACA